AUAUUUACUGAAAUUGUGACUAUAUAGCGAUGUUUCCUGUGACAACGAGCACGAUCGAAUACACAAAUAACAUCUGAUGGACGGAACGAGACGUGUGCUUAUGAAAUUCAAGUGUCGUUUCGUUCUUUUGCGAGUUAACCAGCGCUAAGCUAACGAGUAGCGCCCUGUUUGUCAUUCCCUACAGCUGUAAGUUAGCUAGCUAGCGGCUCUGAACAGAGAUGAGCUCUACACGGGAAAUCAAACAGCUGCAGAAAGCAAAAAACAAAGCCCAGAGCAACAGCAACUUAAAAGAGGAAGCCAAUAUCUGCAAUCAGCUUGGAGAGCUGCUGUCCAGGAGUGGUGAUUAUGAAGCUGCCAUUAGGGAGCACCAGCAGGAGCUGGCUCUGUCCGAGGUGCUUAAUGAUGUGAUUGGACGAGCUGUGGCCAAUCGCAAGAUAGGAGAGUGCUACGCAGAGAUGGGAAACAUUGAGGCUGCUCUGAAACACCAGCGUUGUCACCUGGACCUGGCUCGCUCCGUCAGAGAUCAUGCUGAAGAGCAACGAGCUCUGGCCACUAUUGGUCGAACCUACCUCUUCCGUUAUGAAUCAGACCAAUCCAGGAACAGUUUAGAGCAAGCGGAGGACGCCUUCAGGAAGAGCUUGGCCAUUGUGGAUGACCGUCUGGAGGGGACUGUACCAGAGCGAGAGCUCAGGGAGAUGAAGGCACGUCUCUUCCUCAAUCUAGGUCUUGUCUGUGACCAUCUAGGAGAGCCCAAACGCUGCAGCGAGUUCAUCCGACGAAGCGUCUUCAUUGCUGAGAGGAGCCAACUAUCGGAGGAUCUCUACCGCGCAAACUUUAACCUCGGCAACAUCUGCUUCCGUAAUGGUCAGCACUCCAACGCUGUCCGCUGCUUAGAGCAGGCCAAAGAGUGCGCCAGGAAAAUCAAAGACAAGUUCGGUGAGAGCGAGUGCUUUCACUGCAUCGGCAAGGUGCAGCUCAGUCUGGGUGAUUUUGUAGCAGCCAGACGAUCUCUGAAGAAAGCUCUCUUGCUGGGAUGUCAGCAGCCGCUGGACAGACAGGCAGUGAAGAAAGUUUUCAAAUAUGCUGACCAUGGCUGUAAACUAGAGGAGGAGCUGGGGGAAGAUCAGGGCAGAAGACUCGGCUCUCAUCAGGCUGUGGAGCUGGCGGAGCAGCUGGGGGACCUCUAUUGUAAGAUCGGCUGUUACAGCAAGGCUCUGGAUGCCUAUCAAACUCAGCUAAAGGGUGCUGAAGCUUUAGGGAAGCCUGCCAGGGAGCUGGCUGUCAUCCACGUGUCCCUGGCUGCGACCUACACAGACCUGAGACAAUACAGCAAGGCGGUGGAGCACUACAGAAAGGAGCUGACGUUACGACAGGGCAGUUCGACUGAGGAGUGUAGCACAUGGCUUAACAUUGCAACAGCUCAGGAGGAGAGCGGCUGUGCCUUUGAGGACGUAGACAGCAGCUAUAGAGCAGCGUUACGCUGUGCUCAGACGUCUGGGCAGGCAAGACUGCAGAAACGUGUGCUGAGGCUCUGGCUGGCGUCCCAGAGACGAAGUGGCUCAUCAAACGCUGAUGACACCGAGGCGAGGCUGCAGGAGCUGUGUGCUUCAGAGGGCUGGAGUCCAGAUGGGAGUGAUGGUGAAGAGGAUGAAGAGGAGGAGAUGGAGAACAGUGAACCUCUGGAUGAUAGCGAUGUCAAUCUCUCAGACUCAGAUGAUGACUUGGAGGGUUAUGACAAGAUGGUGUCAGGAAGGAGGAAGGUGGGAAGGUGGAACAAGAGGAAUGAAAAAGGCGAGACGUCCCUCCACAGAGCAUGUAUAGAUGGAAACCUGAAGCAAGUCCAGUAUCUGGUAGAACAGGGUCACCCAGUGAACCCGAGGGACUAUUGUGGCUGGACUCCCCUUCAUGAGGCCUCUAACCACGGUCACUAUGAUAUUGUAGCUGUGCUGCUGGAGCGCGGCGCUAACAUCAACGAUCCCGGUGGCCCCUUAUGUGAGGGAAUGACUCCUCUACACGAUGCCCUCGCUUGUGGCAAUUUAAGCGUUGCAAGGCUUUUGGUGGAAAGAGGGGCUUCUGUCAAGCAGUGCAACUCCAAGGGUGAAACUGCCUUGGACACCUUGCGUCAGUGGCAGAGGACGUACAGCAGGGAACUGGACCAGGACACCAGGCAGGAGUGUGUCAUUACAGAGAGACUGCUGAGGAAGUCUCUCACAGGGGGAGUGCCUGCUGCUCCGGCCCCGGCCAAACCUUUUGAUGCUCUGCAGGACAGCCAGCUUUUUGAUGCAGAGAACUCUGAGCCGCUGACGUCCACUGGAGGGGGCUCUUCCUCCAGCCAAGACUGGCCCCGAAACAACAGGAGCUCGGAGGUGAAAGCGGCAGCCGCCAGCCCCAAACGGCGGCAGAGCAAUGGCUCAACGCAGCGACACAGAGCCAGAGGGACAGAGGAUGCUGUUCUGUAUGGGAUUAACAGCAGUUGCUCAGAUGACAGUGACUCUGACUGCCCGGUCAGUCCUCUCCGUCCAGUCCGCCCAAGACACACUUUGCCAGCAGCUCAGAGUCAAAGAGAGGCUCCUUCAAACAAGGAACCUGCCUUAGUCCCCAGCUCAGGUCCAGAAAGUACUAGAGAGGCCCCAGCAGCUUCUGUCUUUGCACGAGAGGAGUACCACAGUGCCAUUCGAGGCUUAGGAAGCGCCAAAAGUCGCCUCCAGGGCCUCUCACAGUCUCAGUUCUCCAGCACACCUGAUAUUUCAUCCAGCAGCAAAUCAGCUCUGGUUCCCGAGGAAGAGUAUCUUGCCGAUGACUGGUUGGAGGACGAUUUGGGCGAAAUCCAGCCGAAGAAGAAGAGGAGGCUUCGAAUUGAUCAGAACGGAACGAGAGGGGAGGAAACUGCUUCGAUGUCGGUAUCUAGAAGCCAAAACAAGCAGUUAAACUCAGACGCAGCCUGCAGAGGUUCUGCAGCUCACUCUAGCUCCAGCAGGAGUUUCUCUCUGAAAAAGAACACCUCCCAGAGGAAUCACCAGGUGAAAAUGACUCAGAUGCCAGGGAUGGUCAGGUUGGGCAGACGGGAGGUCAACAGGUCGCACAGUCCCACCAUUACAGACGAUGAAGACACGAGACCUGACACACCUCCACCGCCUCCACAAAUACACAGCCAGCUCAGAAACCAGCCUCCAACUCAGUUGCCUCCACCAAUCAGAAUGAGAGUGAGGGUUCAGGAAGAUGUGUUCCUCAUUCCGGUUCCACAGAGUGAGGCCGACUCCUGCACUGUGUCGUGGCUGUGUGAGCAGGCAGCUCAGCGUUACUACCAGAAAUGUGGCCUCCUGCCUCGUCUGUCGCUGCAGAAGGAGGGCGCUCUGCUCUCCCCACAGGACCUGCUGCUGGCCGUCCUUCACACCAAUGAAGAGGUCCUGGCUGAGGUUUGCUCCUGGGAUCUCCCUCCUCUCCCUGAGCGCUACAAGAAGGCCUGUGACAGCCUGGCAGUGGGCGAGAACAAGCGUGUCACCCGCCUGUGUGAGGUUCAGGAUGGGAGUUCCUCCGUAUCAGUGUGUGGCCUCAGUUUGGAUUCCUCUUCACUCAACCCUCUCCUCCGAGCCCUGAAACUUCAGGCCAGCCUCAUCGAGCUGCGUAUUUCUGGGAACCGACUUCCCGACAAUCUUCUCCCUGAACUGAUUGCAACAACAGUCACGAUGCCUCGGCUUCGCCUGCUGGACAUUUCUGCCAACUGCAUUACAGGGGAAGGUCUGGAGAAAGCCGUUAAUGCUUUGAAGGGACAGGGUCAUCCUGCGUUUCCGUGCCUGGAGGAGUUGGACCUCAGCAUGAAUCCGCUCGGGGACGGCGUGUCCGAGUCUCUGUCCUGCCUGCUGUCCUGCUGCCCCGUCUUAGCCAAGCUGUCUCUGCAGGCCUGUGGUCUCACUGCUCGCUUCCUUCAGCAGCAUCGACUGCUGCUGGCCAACGCUCUGACGGGCACGGGCCACCUGAAAUCAGUGUGCCUAUCCCACAAUGCACUGGGCUCCACUGGCUGUGAGCUGGUGUUGAAGACUCUGCCCCUGCACUGUCUCACACACCUGGACCUGUCUGCUGUCCGUAGGGGUCCUGCUGAUUCUCCAGCACUGGAGCAUCUCACCAAAGUCCUGUCACAGGACGACUGCUCUUUGACUCACCUGAGUCUGGCAGCAAACGGGUUGACAGACAGCACUGUAGCCGCCUUGGCCAGGUGCCUGCCGUCGUGCCCGACCCUGGUGAGUCUGAACCUGUCAGGAAACCCGUCUGUUACAUCAGCAGGACUUCACAGCAUCCUGGUGUCCGUCAGAGAGGCAUGUCGACCGCUGUCGCUUCUAAAUCUCGAAGGUUGUCAGGUGUCUGGUCCCUGGGACAGCGAAGGUCUGGACGGUUUGUCAGAGCUGGUCCAGGAUCUCCGUCUUUGCUCUCAGGCUCUGAACAAACUGGACCGACAGGCGUUAAAGCAGAGCUGGGACAAGAGUCAGUCACACGGAAACUUUCUGGACCGAAACACCAAAUGCCUGCUCUCUGCUGCUUCCUCCUCAUGAAGACGGUUUCCCAGAGACUAUGGGUUGAGGAGGAAUUGGAAGUUUGUCGGCUUAGACCUGGUGUCAUUCCAUCAAUGUUAAACUUCCCGGCUCAUCUUGGAAGAGUACGUGCCAGAAAGACCACGACCAAGCAGCCUUGAGAUCUUAGGCAGCGUCUCCCUGAGGUCCCUCUCUAUCUCCCUACACAUCCACCAACCACUGGAACACAUCUCCAAAGUUCUGCCGGGCCAGCUCAGCUUCUCCUCAGAAGAAGUGGCGCCACCUGCCAGAUGAAGGAGCCUUUUGAGAGGCAGCUGGCAUCAUGAUUGGACUGUACUUUGGUCUGUUCCAAUCCAGCUUCAGCUCCAGAGACGGCAGGCGGGACGAGUCAACGGAGGCCGGGUGGACGAAGGCUUGCAGCUGAAUACAAUCCAGAAAACAACAGAGGAGUAGUGCAGGCCCAGGGCCAGAACAGAGUAGCAUCGUAUGUCUCUUAGAAAACAUCAUAGUAUAGCCUUUGGUAUGAAAAAACGCCAUCAUAUACAUCGUAUAUUGUACAAAUAACAAGUCAAGGCAAAGAGACAUACAUUGUAGAAUUGUAGUAAUUGUGGGCUGACUGAUUUACUGAUUAUCAGUAUUUUAUUUUUUACUGAUUUACGGUAAUAAAUACAUUUAUAAAUGGC